AUACGGAGGAUCCGAGCGUUAUCCGGAUUUAUUGGGUUUAAAGGGUGCGCAGGCGGGAGAUUAAGUCGGCGGUGAAAUUUUGCAGCUCAACUGUAAAAGUGCCUUCGAAACUGGUUUCCUUGAGUGUAGAUGAAGUAGGCGGAAUUUGUGGGGUAGCGGUGAAAUGCAUAGAUAUCACGAGGAACUCCGAUUGCGCAGGCAGCUUACUAAACUACUACUGACGCUCAGGCACGAAGGCGUGGGGAUCAAACAGGAUUAGAUACCCUGGUAGUCCACGCAGUAAACGAUGAUUACUAGCUGUUUGCGAUACAAUGUAAGCGGCUGAGCGAAAGCGUUAAGUAAUCCACCUGGGGAGUACGUUCGCAAGAAUGAAACUUAAAGGAAUUGACGGGG
rnacentral:rRNA from 1 species